rnacentral:rRNA from 1 species
UACGGAGGAUGCGAGCGUUAUCCGGAUUUAUUGGGUUUAAAGGGUGCGUAGGCGGUCCGUUAAGUCAGCGGUAAAAUCGAGGGGCUCAACCCCUUUAAGCCGUUGAAACUGACACCCUUGAGUGAGUGAGAAGUAAGCGGAAUGCGUGGUGUAGCGGUGAAAUGCAUAGAUAUCACGCAGAACGCCGAUUGCGAAGGCAGCUUACCGGCGCUCAACUGACGCUGAGGCACGAAAGUGCGGGUAUCGAACAGG